CUCCACUACAGCUCCUCCCUUCAUUUCCACUACAGCUCCACCCUUCAACUCCACUACAGCUCCACCCUUCAUCUCCACUGCAGCUCCUCCCAAAGGACUCACUGUUCUGGAGGUGAAGGUGAAGACGUUGUUGACUGAAGAAGAGCAUCAGGCUGCACUGCUUCAGGUUGGCACUGUGCUAGAGAAGUUGUUAAAAGAGAAUAAUACUGACAUCUACUCUGUUAAAGUCAUAAAAAUUAAACGGGUAUCACCAUAGAAUUGAGUCGGAAAUCAGAGAGAGGAACAGACAUGAAUAAGUGCUCAUUGCUGCUGAACUUUUACUAUUUUAGAUUACAUAUGUUGAUGGUUCAGCAAAAAGUGUGUUUCUGUGUAUGUAUGAAUCAAACAUGAAAAGAAUGUGUUAGGAAUCCCCAGAUUUAUUUUCUGUUCUAAUGUAAUUCUUCUGUGAAGGGAAUCUGCUGCUGCUGUUUAAACUUUGUUUUCAUUUCUCUGUUUUUGAGAUUUGUGUAUGACGAUUGCACUGAAAUAAUAAGGAAGAGCUCUUAUGAACCCAAACAAGCAAACAACUAAAACUGUCAUUCUGUUGGGUUUUGUGAUCGUCAUUGCUCAGUGUGUUUCCUGCUGCUGCAUGACUUUGUUCAGUAAAUGUUGCAUGAAUAAUUUCUCUGAGAACUGAGCAACGGUUUCUGAGUUUUUCUGGGAAAUAUGGAGACCAAUUUGGCCUCCACUGUUCUCUGAAACCCAUUCAACUAUGAGAAGAGAAUCUUAUUUUAGACCAGACUGCUUCAUCAGGACCAGACACCAGUGUGAGACGGCUUUAUAAAAUAAUGUCGUCACUCGAAUUUUUAAUCACCUACGGUUUCAAUUAGUUCUGACAUUUUAGGACAUUCUCCCAGACUUACAGAGCAUGUUUUUAUUUAAGGAAAUAAACACGAGGAAAUUAGUUUUUGCUGCAAGACUCCUGAAAUGACUUUUAUUUUGUAACUCUUUCGCAGUUUUUUUUCCUGAAAUCACUCACUAUUAUCCAGUUUGACUAAACAAACAGUGUGAAUUCACAAAACACUCUGAAAAAAAAAAUCUGAAGUAUUUUCAUACAGAAGA